CGUUGUCCGGAGGUAUUGGGCGUAAAGCGCGCGCAGGCGGCCUCGCGCGCCCGACGUGAAAGCCCCCGGCUUAACCGGGGAGGGUCGUUGGGGACGGCGGGGCUUGAGGGCGGGAGAGGUCGGUGGAAUUCCCGGUGUAGUGGUGAAAUGCGUAGAGAUCGGGAGGAACACCUGUGGCGAAGGCGGCCGACUGGGCCGACCCUGACGCUGAGGCGCGAAAGCUAGGGGAGCAAACGGG
rnacentral:rRNA from 1 species